rnacentral:piRNA from 1 species
UGGGUUAAAGGCCUGUGCCACCACGCCUG